CCCCCAGCUUUGAUGUAUACUCUAUGAGGCAGAAACCCUGCUGUCCUUCCUCACCAUUCACCAUGAGCAGGGUCUAUAACAUACUGGAGGUACAGCAGGUGCUCAUGAAAUAUUUAUUGAGUGAAUUAUGGCAGUGGUGACAAAUACCUUAUUUCUCCACAAGGCUUUAAACCAUAGCUAUAAAGUGUGGUAAAAAAUGUAUGACUGUGAAAAAAUUUUUAAUUAUUACAAUAAGAGACAUACUGUCAUUAAUCCCCUUCAAAAUACUUUUUUUUGCUUUGAACACAUUUAUCUCAUCAUUCCUGCCGCUUCCUGAAGCACUUCUGGAAGUCUUCCUUUGUGAGAGUCUUUAAUUGUGCUAUCACACCUGCCUUGAUGUCCUGAAUCUAUCCAAAACAUUUACUUUUCGUGGUCAUUUUGGCUUGGGAGAAGAGCCAGAACUCUGUGCCAGAUCCAGGGAGUAAGGUAGGUAAAGACACAGCACCAUAUUUUUAUGGGCCUGCCUUUCCCUUGGAUAGCACUCAGCAGCAGCCGCCGCCUCUGUUCCUGAUCACACUUUGUAAAGACACUCAUGAAAGAGGACUUCCAGAACUGCUUCAGAGAGUUGCAAGAAAGAUGGGAUAAGCAUGUUUAAAGCAAGGGGGAGUAUUUUGAGGGAGAUUCAUGACAAUGUGUCUUUACUAUAAUAAAUGUUCAGGAAAAAUAUAUAUUCAUAUUCACCAUAUCUUUUGAUCACACCACAUAGAUGUUUUCAGCCUUUCCCCAAAUCUGCCAGGUUCUGAUUCGGCCCGUCUGAGGGGGUUCUCAUGCCUCCAGUCCCCUCAGGGCUGUAGAUGUCCAAUGCCGUGAUUUAGGCUCUGGAGAGGAAGAGAACCAGACAGAGGUCACCAGAGCUGAGCCUCUCACUGUCCUGCCCCAGGUGGCCUGGCUCUCCCUGGCCAGCCCUGCAACCAGGCCCCCAGGUUGGUGUUGGGGCUGAACACAGAGGAAGCAGUGGCUGCUGAGCUCACGGAGUCUGGCCAAGCCACGUCUGAGAGGCCCUCUCGGGAGGAGAGGCGAGGCAUGGGCCGUGGUGCCCUGUGGCUUUUUCCUCCUGGCCUCAUAAACAUCCAUCUCUGCUAGGAGACGCUAUAUUCAGUGGGAAGCUGAGAAACUGAAAUCGCAACCAGACAUAAAUACGGGGCAUCCCCCCCCUUCCUCUGUGGGGAGCGGCAGCCUAGCCUGGCAGACACAGCAGGUGGAGGGGCUCCCACCCCAAGACAGCCAGGGCCACAUCACCUGCUCCCGGCACAGUAACUGGCCCAUGUGACAUAACCCUUGCUCUUCUCUGUGCCCAGGCACCAGCUAUGACAGCUACAAGCUGUUUCUCCGUGGGCAAAUCACUCAACCGCUCUGAUCCCCCCCGGCCUCGUGGGGGAAAUACGUGAUAAAAGCACCUGCCCCACGGUGCUCACAGAGCACAGAGAACACGCUCCACAAGGCUCUUAGGACAGCGUCUCUCUCAGCACAUUUCUAAAAAUAUGCUUUAUUGGAUUUCUCCUUUCGAGCUACAGAGGCAGUACACGUCCCUGACAACAUGCCCAUCGGCAGAGAGGUGAGCGGAAGAAAAGCUCUCAUCUGCCUUCCCUCCAACCUCCCGGGCCCUGCCCGCCCCCACGAGUUCCCGCAGGAGGUGACAGUCAGCGCUUUGCCUUCUCCGCUCUUCAGGGCCCUUCUCGGCACGUGCGGCUUCAUUUUCACAGAAAUGGCCCAAUUUCGCAUGCCUUUCCCGGGCUAGUGUAGCUCUCAGAGGUCCGCGUGAACUUCUGAGUCCCCGCUGGUGGCAGCCGGGCCACGUCCCUGUCCAGCCCAGCCGCGCUGCAGGACCCGUCUCCCGCCUGCUUUCUCUGGGCGGAGCCGCAGGGCACCGGGCAAAGGGCGCGGUUUUGUGCUCCGGCCCGGGCCGUGCCGCGGACCAGGUGAUCUGAGCGGCCCGGCCCAGCAGCGCGGGCCACACUGGCUCCGGGUCUCCGGGGGGCGCUCCCUUCCUGACACCAGGCUGGACACACGAGCGAAGGCCCGCGUCACCUUAUCCCUUGCCACGGCCCAGAGGGACAGGAAACUAAUACAAACGUCUAGCAAGAGGAGGCAGAUCCUAAGUUCCGUUAGGACAAGAUGUGAAAUCUGGUGAGAACACAGUGCAAGAGAAAGCACAGCCCCUCCUGAUGAGAAAGGAUCGCGGGUUUCAGAUCAGCGACAGCAGAGCAUUCCAAGUACCGGCUCCUCUGUGCACACAGCCUCGUACAGCUGCCCGGGUCGCACACUCACCGAGCCUGCCCUGAAUCCCACCACCAGGAGUCCAGCGGAGCAAUCAGGGCAGAAGUAAAAGCACAGGGUCCCGAGAGAGUGUGGGACCGUGGGGAAGCCAGGCUGGGGUGCGCAGAGCUCUCUGAGGGCCACAGUUUGCUCUGGGGCUGGGGAGUGGGAGGUGUGGGAGGGCUCUGCGCCCCCUCACCUGGAGAAGCAGCGCAUCCCCCGCAUCCCCCGCAUCCCCGGCGGCGAGGAGCGCCCUUCCGCCUUCCCAGGCUUGGCCUCUCCUCCCCUCCCCUCCCCUCCCCUCCGGCCUUCCUUUAAUUUCCUCGGCUGGCUUUAACACCGCCCUUCCGGGGUCAACUCCGCCCUUCACCUCUGUCCCUGUGGACCGUUUACAGUCAGCUCAGCGUUGGGGUACCUUUGGACUGAGAGUAGCGGAGGUGGUGUGGGGCGCCCAUCCACCUUCCCCCAAGACGCCGCCUCCCCUGCCGCCACGGAAGCGGAGAAGCGGAGCUCGCACGCUGCUAACCAGAGCCCGUGCAUCCCCCUCUUCCUCUUCCGCUCCAGGGCGCAGGUGCUCCCCUCCUGUCCUUGAGUUAAUCCAGGUGCCACAACGCCCUGGGCUCAGCGAAACUUGCUUAAACCUCCCCGGAUUCUCACCCUCACCUGCUCUCCACUUCGCGAGGAGAUGGAGGCCCAAGGUGCUGAGGAGCCACCCCGUGAAAACAUCUGGUUCCCCCAGGGCCGUUGCUCUGCCCAGCACUCCAGUGUCCCUCCUCCCAGAGCUUUCCAGAGAGUCAGUGCAGGCUCUCUCCUCCCUUACUCUCUGCUUAGUAUUUUUUCUCA
rnacentral:lncRNA from 1 species